GUGCUGUACUAAAAAAUAAAAUUUAUGAUAAUCUGAAUUUUUUUACAAUUUUCCUAAUUGAAUUGGGUAAUAAAUACUUAGCCAAGCUCCUAAAAUAUUUCAUUAGCCAAAUGGCACUAGGUUUUAAGCAUGAUAGAAAUGAGCAUACUGUAUCAUCAUGAUUGCUUGAUAAAGCUAUGACAGUAGCAUCUGACACAAUUUUUUCAGCUUUCCCAAACCAGCAAUUCUAAUACUUGUAUACCUUUGGAGGAUGACAGCAUGUCGUUAUGUAUAUACCGGCUUAAAAGAUAAUUUGCGCAUGCACUGCUUCGCAUCAUAUCAACGAUGAAGCCAUCAAGUACACUGGGAUGUCACAGAAGUCCUCCAAAGUACCUAAGAAGAGCUCUCAUAUUCUCCUUGUCUUCUCAUCUUAUAUCUUCAAAGAACUGAUUCAAAAUGCAUUAAAGGCAACACUAAAGAACUGCUUAAAAUAGAGCAAAGGUGCAUCAGGAAAGACACCAUUUGUGUGAUGUGGAAGGCCACUAUAAACUAUGCUUUGAAAACAAACA
rnacentral:lncRNA from 1 species